UAGCCUAGUGGUUAAGGCUAUGGAUCGCCAAUCCGGAGAUGGCGGGUUCGAUUCCCGU
rfam:Aedes albopictus isolate Foshan contig42077, whole genome shotgun sequence.